CCUUCCUUCUCUAAGCCCCUCACGCGGUCGAUUCCCAUCGCGCCGAACCACCGCCGACUUCAUCUCCCGAUCCCUCACCUCGUGACGCCGUCGGCCUUAUUCUCUCGAGCCACAGCUGCCUAUCCUCUCUUCCUCACACGUGAGCACCACAGUCGCGGCUCCCUCUCCCUCUCGUAAUUUUCCUCACCAAAAUCGCCGACCCUUUUUCCGCUCACAAGCACCGUAGCAACCGACGAUCUCUCCCACGGAUGAGCACCCCCGGAUGCCGCCUACCCCACCUCCUCAUGACAGCAUCAGAGACGCUGCACCACCGCAGGUUGCAAAGGGGCCAGCGACCAACGCGACGCCUUUCCGCCACUUGCUGCCUGCCCUAAUACCGUGUCCCCUGGCGAAUUCCUCCUUCGUCGGCCACUAGGGUUCGUUAAGGUGGGUUCCAGCCUGAGAGGAAGUUGUGGACACAAACUUUGCCUUGCUUGGACCACAGUAGCUUCGCCAGUAGCUAGUCUGGAUGGGUGCCCCGCUGUCCACAGUGCGUUGCAGCAGUAGGGAGAAGAAGCCAGAGGUUUGAUUUGGGUAACAAACCUAUUUUGUUAAACCUAAUUCAGUGAUGAUUAGUUCUUCGAUUUAAUAGGCGAUUAGUGGUUUUGGUGAUCGUUAAGGGGUUAAUCGAUCAUGAGGUAUUGUGAUCUAAGACGUGCUGUGUGUUAGAUUAGCAAAGGUUUGAUUUCUUGUUCAAUUUUAGGAUAUGUGAUUAGCUAUUUGAACAAUUAUUGUAGGUCUGGCCAUUAAUUCCAGUAGUGAUUUUCUUCAGUAUUGGAUUAGCACCUUAGGCAUCAGACUUGGGUGAGUUUUUAGAAUGUGUUCAUGCUUAGCCUAACCCUAUAUGAUGAUGAAAGGGUUAGUGUUAUUUGGAUCCAAUGUAGUGGUGAUAUGAUUUUGGGUUAAUUAUCAGAUUGGUUGUGGAAGAAAUUGUGGGAUAAUUAGGUUGGAUUUAUUAGGGUUUGGCUUGUGUUAACCAAUCUAUGUUAGAUCUAAGUGUUGAAUGUGUACUUAUUCUAGGAUUCUGAUUCGAGAUAAGAGCUCUGACUGGAGGACAUUUAGCAUGAUCUACGUAUAAAGGUAGCAGGUAGAUGAGUCAGGGAUGCUUGGAGAGAUGCCGGCUGCCAGUUCUGGGUCCUGCGUUAUAUCGGUUUUAUUUUCGCUUUAUUCAUAUUUUUUGGUAGGUAGCGGUUUUAGUAUUAUAUGAAUUGGUAUGUGUUUGGAGUUUGAUUCGUGGUGUUUUUCUUUCGUGAUCUUGUGGUUGUGUAAGCCUAAUUUGCUAGUAAACUUUAGUUGUGGAUUAUGGGUUUUCUCUUCGUUUUUCUGCUGUAUUUUUGAUACAACCGUAUGGGCUGAAUAUAACU